rnacentral:rRNA from 1 species
AUUAAACGCUGGCGGCAUGCCUUACACAUGCAAGUCGAACGGCAGCACAGGGGCAACCCUGGUGGCGAGUGGCGGACGGGUGAGUAAUACAUCGGAACGUGCCCUGGAGUGGGGGAUAACGCAGCGAAAGCUACGCUAAUACCGCAUAUUCUGUGAGCAGGAAAGCAGGGGAUCGCAAGACCUUGCGCUUUGGGAGCGGCCGAUGUCGGAUUAGCUAGUUGGUGGGGUAAAGGCCUACCAAGGCGACGAUCCGUAGCGGGUCUGAGAGGAUGAUCCGCCACACUGGGACUGAGACACGGCCCAGACUCCUACGGGAGGCAGCAGUGGGGAAUUUUGGACAAUGGGCGGAAGCCUGAUCCAGCCAUGCCGCGUGAGUGAAGAAGGCC